CACAUGCAAGUCGAGGGGAAACGACAUCGAAAGCUUGCUUUUGAUGGGCGUCGACCGGCGCACGGGUGAGUAACGCGUAUCCAACCUGCCCACCACUUGGGGAUAACCUUGCGAAAGUAAGACUAAUACCCAAUGACGUCUCUAGAAGACAUCUGAAAGAGAUUAAAGAUUUAUCGGUGAUGGAUGGGGAUGCGUCUGAUUAGCUUGUUGGCGGGGUAACGGCCCACCAAGGCGACGAUCAGUAGGGGUUCUGAGAGGAAGGUCCCCCACAUUGGAACUGAGACACGGUCCAAACUCCUACGGGAGGCAGCAGUGAGGAAUAUUGGUCAAUGGACGAGAGUCUGAACCAGCCAAGUAGCGUGCAGGAAGACGGCCCUAUGGGUUGUAAACUGCUUUUAUAAGGGAAUAAAGUGAGAGUCGUGACUCUUUUUGCAUGUACCUUAUGAAUAAGGACCGGCUAAUUCCGUGCCAGCAGCCGCGGUAAUACGGAAGGUCCGGGCGUUAUCCGGAUUUAUUGGGUUUAAAGGGAGCGUAGGCCGGAGAUUAAGCGUGUUGUGAAAUGUAGAUGCUCAACAUCUGAACUGCAGCGCGAACUGGUUUCCUUGAGUACGCACAAAGUGGGCGGAAUUCGUGGUGUAGCGGUGAAAUGCUUAGAUAUCACGAAGAACUCCGAUUGCGAAGGCAGCUCACUGGAGCGCAACUGACGCUGAAGCUCGGAAGUGCGGGUAUCGAACAGGAUUAGAUACCCUGGUAGUCCGCACGGUAAACGAUGGAUGCCCGCUGUUGGUCUGAAUAGGUCAGCGGCCAAGCGAAAGCAUUAAGCAUCCCACCUGGGGAGUACGCCGGCAACGGUGAAACUCAGAGGAAUUGACGGGGG
rnacentral:rRNA from 1 species